rnacentral:rRNA from 1 species
AGAGUUUGAUCCUGGCUCAGAACGAACGCUGGCGGCAGGCCUAACACAUGCAAGUCGAGCGCGCCUUCGGGUGAGCGGCGGACGGGUUAGUAACGCGUGGGAACGUGCCCUUCUCUACGGAAUAGCCUCUGGAAACGGAGAGUAAUACCGUAUACGCCCUUUGGGGGAAAGAUUUAUCGGAGAAGGAUCGGCCCGCGUUAGAUUAGGUAGUUGGUGGGGUAAUGGCCUACCAAGCCUACGAUCUAUAGCUGGUUUUAGAGGAUGAUCAGCAACACUGGGACUGAGACACGGCCCAGACUCCUACGGGAGGCAGCAGUGGGGAAUCUUAGACAAUGGGGGCAACCCUGAUCUAGCCAUGCCGCGUGAGUGAUGAAGGCCUUAGGGUCGUAAAGCUCUUUCGCCUGUGAUGAUAAUGACAGUAGCAGGUAAAGAAACCCCGGCUAACUCCGUGCCAGCAGCCGCGGUAAUACGGAGGGGGUUAGCGUUGUUCGGAAUUACUGGGCGUAAAGCGCGCGUAGGCGGACUAGAAAGUUGGGGGUGAAAUCCCGGGGCUCAACCCCGGAACUGCCUCCAAAACUGCUAGUCUAGAGUUCGAGAGAGGUGAGUGGAAUUCCGAGUGUAGAGGUGAAAUUCGUAGAUAUUCGGAGGAACACCAGUGGCGAAGGCGGCUCACUGGCUCGAUACUGACGCUGAGGUGCGAAAGUGUGGGGAGCAAACAGGAUUAGAUACCCUGGUAGUCCACACCGUAAACGAUGAAUGCCAGUCGUCGGAUAGUAUACUAUUCGGUGACACACCUAACGGAUUAAGCAUUCCGCCUGGGGAGUACGGUCGCAAGAUUAAAACUCAAAGGAAUUGACGG